rnacentral:lncRNA from 1 species
CUUGGAAAUUGAGCUAAACCUUGAGAUGGCAUUGUUAUGGUACAUAUCUUCCCUUUUGCUUUCCUAUAUUUUUGAAAUACUUUUUUUAAAAAACAAAUGCAGAAGGAUUGUAUAUUUUUAGUCUUCAUGGCUCAUUUAUGAAAUCCCCAAAUGCUUCAAUUCCAUCCAAAAAUGCUGUGGGUUACAAGAGAUGGCUCCAUAUAUUGUGGUGUUAACUUAAGAUUUAUCUGAUACUACCGUGAGGUAAGAAGAUCAAAAGUGUUUUGGAGUGGGUUGAAGAAGAGGUAAUAUUUUUUUAAAAGGCAAAUAGAAAUCUUAUUCCCAGUUCUUUUGACAGACAGAAAUAGCAGAAUAUGAGAAAUUCUUUUUGGAUCUUUAAGGAGCUGGGACCUUCUUGUAUCACAUUGUCAUGAUUAAAAAUAGAAGGAUUUCUCACAGAGGAAGGGUAAGAGUUAAAAUGGAAGAAGAAAAAUCUGAAGCCUUAUCAUGUUAGACAAAAUGCAUCUUGCAAGGGAUGUAACUAGGUGCUUCAUGAUGCCUCAUGUGUCACCGCCUAUGACAUCAAGGAUCCUCUUGCCAAAAGGCAGACACCUCAAAGCAGGCUAAUAAUGUUUAUUGCAGUAAAAGAAAGCCUACUCACCCAGGAACUUCUAGUAAAGGGAGAAAAGGGCCUUCAAAGGAAGGUGUUGGUGUUUAUAUCUGUGUCUGUACGGCUGGAUUUGUAAAAGAGUUGGAAGUAUUUGCUGCAUCAUUCUAAGACUAUGUAUGCCAUGCUUGUACAGGAGCUGGAAGUAUUUGCUCCUUUAUAUUGAGAGACAUCAGCUGUGUUCAUGCCAGUCCUGAUUUAUUUUUUGACCUCCUUUAAUACAUUGCUAUUAGUGGUUGAUGUGACCUGUCUGUG